ACUCCUACGGGAGGCAGCAGUAGGGAAUCUUCCACAAUGGGCGCAAGCCUGAUGGAGCAACACCGUGUGAGUGAAGAAGGGUUUCGGCUCGUAAAGCUCUGUUGUUAAAGAAGAACACGUAUGAGAGUAACUGUUCAUACGUUGACGGUAUUUAACCAGAAAGUCACGGCUAACUACGUGCCAGCAGCCGCGGUAAUACGUAGGUGGCAAGCGUUAUCCGGAUUUAUUGGGCGUAAAGAGAGUGCAGGCGGUUUUCUAAGUCUGAUGUGAAAGCCUUCGGCUUAACCGGAGAAGUGCAUCGGAAACUGGAUAACUUGAGUGCAGAAGAGGGUAGUGGAACUCCAUGUGUAGCGGUGGAAUGCGUAGAUAUAUGGAAGAACACCAGUGGCGAAGGCGGCUACCUGGUCUGCAACUGACGCUGAGACUCGAAAGCAUGGGUAGCGAACAGGAUUAGAUACCCUGGUAGGAUAGCG
rnacentral:rRNA from 1 species